UGAUUUCUCAACUACUUCCCAUUUUUCUUUAGUUCUAAGAACACACGUGAUAGGCAAGAAAUUUGCUAAUAUCUAAUUAAAUAAUUACCAUCUUUUAACAAAUCAUUUUAUGUGAGUUGGGACAAAAAGAGUAUAUUUUUCUGAGAGAAAUACAAGGAAAAUAAAAGCAAGAAGUAUCAGUGAAUAAAAAGAAAGGAUUAAACAGAGAAGAGAUCACAAAAAGAAAGGAUAUCAUGGUCCCUGUAUUACUCGGAGCAAAAAGCCUCAAAGUUCCAACAAAGAGUGCAGCUCACCUUCUCAUAUUAGAAGUGAUUAGUCUAUCACAGAAAGGAUCAUUUUCCACUCAUACAACUUGAGAUCAAAGGACAAGAUUUGACAGCCCUCCAGGGAGUCAUGGGUAAUGCAAAUAUCGCCACUCACACUGCCUCACCUUUGACCACACUCCUCUCCGCAUGCCUGGACAAGUAAAUACGAUGAAUACAAACACAUCCAGUCUUGCAGAAGAAUCUUUGUUUAAAAAAAGUCAGCCUGCAGCCUAAGGAGUAUGGAGAGAGGAAGCAACAUUUUUCUGUGGAAAGAAUUCAUGUUGUAGUCUGGAAUGAAAAUAAUAAUUUGCAUAAGAGUGCAUAAGUAUGAAUAUAUAUCUCCAGAGCACACCCAAAAUGCUAACAUUUACUCUUCAUGAAAAUAAAUAUAACUGGAGG
rnacentral:lncRNA from 1 species